CUGCCUGCCUGCAUACUGCCUUGCAGCUGUGUGCCUGCCUUUAGCCAGCGUUGGACCUGUGCUCAGACUGCACAGAGUCCUGCCUCUGCACCUGGAGAUCCUGCCUGUGUGCCCCUGGAGAGAGCAGCCAGCAGGAGCCAGCAGCAGUAAGGUCAGAGACUGCCAUUUCCCCUGAAACCAGAGGAUUCCAGCCUCAGAGUCCACAGGCAGAGACCCUGAAGAAUUGGACACUGGGCACAGGCUGAGGCAGCCCUGGAGGGUGAUUGAUAAGAACUAAGAAUAUUAGAGUCUGACUGGAACAAAAUUAUUGAAGAAACACAUGUGAAAUGCUGGAAACAUGCAGGAUCCCUUAGCUGUGGUUGGUUUCAAUCACCUUACUAGAACUUUCAAGGUUUCAUCUGACUAUGCAAAUCAGGAAAUAAAACUUUGUGGCAUCACUUUAUGUUUGUGAGGCAAAACAGAGCUGAAUCUGAUCUACCAAUGUGCCUGUUAACUGCUGCUUCACACAUCCAGUUAACUAAUGCAUGAGCAAUACCGAGCUGGACUACACUCCUCUAAGAGCUGUGUUCUUGCCGUACGGAUUGGAUUCAGCGUAUCCUACCUGUGAAGGAUGGAGUCCUUGUUGUUGUAGAAAUGCAUCCACACCAUCACGAGGUGUUAUAGUCACUGGGAAGUAUGUUUAGAUGCAAGGAAAUGUCUGAACAAUGAUGUAGAGGAUGAUGAGAAAUAUUAGGAACGUCUAUUUUAAAAGCUAGAGUGUAUUAGUGUUUCUAUCUCUUACAAUACAUAUUCCCUGUGUCUCUAGCUUGUCCAAUGCACAUUCCCUCCAAACACGAGAAGAAAGAAGCUGGAGUACAUUUAAAUGUGGUCAUCUGGUGUGAAUGAUUUAGGCAACUGUCUUCUGCCAUUGUGAUUGUUUUCCAUUCUCACAUGCCAUUUAAUAUUGCAGGAAGCAGAACCGUUCUGUGUGGUUGUAGUCUAUCCAAUAUCAGUGUGUUACUGGGAAGUAAAAAUCUGACUGAAGCCAGAAGCGUAAAUCUGCCAGACCUCCCAGGAAUAUCGAGAGCUUCUUUUUUCCUCUGCUCUUUAAAUGGUGGCAGAGAUAACAUCGCAACUCUGUAUCUGGGAAAUCAUUCUUUCUGCUUGUUCCUUAAAAGUUGUUGCUCCUUUCUCCUCUUCAAAGGCAGACUGCCCUCUGACCCUCCUGGUUCCUUUUGAUUUAUCCUUUCUGAGAGAAAUAAAAAUUAAGGUGUGCAGACACACA